UUGAUUAACAUAAUUAUUUUAAAAAACAAACUAAUGAAACAGGCCUGGACAAAAAUGAUGGUACCUCUAUAAAAGAUUGAAAACUAUUUGACCAGAGUGACAUGAUUAACUCAGGUGUGUCAUUUAAUUGACAUCACAGGUGUUUCCAAACUCAUAAUCAGUCAGUCUGCCUAUUUAAAGGGAGACAAGUAGUCACCCUGCUGUUUGGUGAAAAGGUGUGUACCACACUGAACAUGGACAACAGAAAGCGAAGGAGAGAAUUGUCCCAGGACAUCCGAAAAAAAAUUAUAGACAAACAUGUUAAAGGUAAAGGCUAUAAGACCAUCUCUAAACAGCUUGAAGUUCCUGUGACAACAGUGGCUCAUAUUAUUCAGAAGUUCAAGACCCACGGGACAGUAGCCAACCUCCCUGGACGUGGCCGCAAGAGGAAAAUUGAUGACAAAUUGAAGAGACGGAUCGUUCGAAUUGUAUCCAAAGAGCCCAGAGCAACCUCCAAAGAAAUUAAAGGUGAACUCCAAGGCCAAGGUACAUCAGUGUCAGAUCGCACCAUUCGUCGUUGUUUGAGCCAAAGUGGACUUCAUGGGAGACGACCAAGGAGGACACCACUGCUGAAAAAAACUCAUAAAAAGCGAGACUGGAAUUUGCAAAAAUGCAUGUUGACAAGCCACAAAGCUUCUGGGAGAAUGUCCUUUGGACGGAUGAGACCAAACUGGAGCUUUUUGGUAAGGCACAUCAACUCUAUGUUCAUAGACUCAAAAACCAAGCAUACGAAGAAAAGAACACUGUCCCUACGGUGAAACAUGGAGGAGGCUCAGUAAUGUUUCGGGGCUGCUUUGCUGCAUCUGGCACAGGGUGUCUUGAAAGUGUGCAAGGUACGAUGAAAUCUGAAGACUAUCAAGGCAUUCUGGAGAGAAAUGUGCUGCCUAGUGUCAGAAAGCUUGGUCUCAGUCGCAGGUCAUGGGUCUUCCAACAGGACAACGAUCCAAAACACACAGCCAAAAACACCCAAGAAU